CCUACGGGUGGCAGCAGUGAGGAAUAUUGGUCAAUGGUCGGGAGACUGAACCAGCCAAGCCGCGUGAGGGAUGAAGGUACAGAGUAUCGUAAACCUCUUUUGUCAGGGAACAAAGGCGGGGACGUGUCCCCGGAUGAGUGUACCUGAAGAAAAAGCAUCGGCUAACUCCGUGCCAGCCGCCGCGGUAAUACGGAGGAUGCGAGCGUUCUCCGGAUUUAUUGGGUUUAAAGGGUGGGGAGGCGGGCCGGUAAGUCAGCGGUCAAACGCCGGGGCCCAACCCCGGGCCCGCCGUGGAAACUGGCAGUCUCGAGUUGGAGAGAGGUAUGCGGAAUGCGCGGUGUAGCGGUGAAAUGCAUAGAUAUCGCGCAGAACACCGAUUGCGAAGGCAGCAUGCCGGCUCCACACUGACGCUGAGGCACGAAAGCGUGGGUAUCGAACAGGAUUAGAUACCCUUGUAGUC
rnacentral:rRNA from 1 species